rnacentral:rRNA from 1 species
GACGAACGCUGGCGGCGGGCUUAACACAUGCAAGUCGAACGGAAAGGCCCUGCUUUUGUGGGGUGCUCGAGUGGCGAACGUGUGAGUAACCCGUGAGUAACCUUCCCUUGACUUUGGGAUAACUUCAGGAAACUGGGGCUAAUACCGGAUAGGAGCUCCUGCUGCAUGGUGGGGGUUGGAAAGUUUCGGCGGUUGGGGAUGGACUCGCGGCUUAUCAGCUUGUUGGUGGGGUAGUGGCUUACCAAGGCUUUGACGGGUAGCCGGCCUGAGAGGGUGACCGGCCACAUUGGGACUGAGAUACGGACCAGACUCCUACGGGAGGCAGCAGUGGGGAAUAUUGCACAAUGGGCGGAAGCCUGAUGAAGCAACGCCGCGUGCGGGAUGACGGCCUUCGGGUUGUAAACCGCUUUCGCCUGUGACGAAGCGUGAGUGACGGUAAUGGGUAAAGAAGCACCGGCUAACUACGUG